AUUGAACGCUGGCGGCAGGCCUAACACAUGCAAGUCGAACGGUAACAGGAAACAGCUUGCUGUUUCGCUGACGAGUGGCGGACGGGUGGGUAAUGUCUGGGAAACUGCCUGAUGGAUGGGGAUAACUACUGGAAACGGUAGCUAAUACCGCAUAACGUCGCAAGACCAAAGAGGGGGACCUUCGGGCCUCUUGCCAUCGGAUGUGCCCAGAUGGGAUUAGCUAGUAGGUGGGGUAACGGCUCACCUAGGCGACGAUCCCUAGCUGGUCUGAGAGGAUGACCAGCCACACUGGAACUGAGACACGGUCCAGACUCCUACGGGAGGCAGCAGUGGGGAAUAUUGCACAAUGGGCGAAAGCCUGAUGCAGCCAUGCCGCGUGUAUGAAGAAGGCCUUCGGGUUGUAAAGUACUUUCAGCGGGGAUGAAGGGAGUAAAGUUAAUACCUUUGCUCAUUGACGUUACCCGCAGAAGAAGCACCGGCUAACUCCGUG
rnacentral:rRNA from 1 species